UUCCGGGAGAGACUGCGCCGCCGUUGAGCGGCCAGCGCCGAAGGGGAAUGCGCAAACAACUCUCAGGCAAAAGGACCGGAAC
rnacentral:ncRNA from 1 species